rnacentral:rRNA from 1 species
UACGUAGGGGGCAAGCGUUGUUCGGAAUUACUGGGCGUAAAGGGCGCGUAGGCGGCAUGGCAAGUCGGGAGUGAAAGCCCGGGGCUCAACCCCGGAACGGCUUUCGAAACUGCCAAGCUAGAGUACGGAAGGGGCAACUGGAAUUCCCAGUGUAGCGGUGAAAUGCGUAGAUAUUGGGAAGAACACCGGAGGCGAAGGCGGGUUGCUGGGCCGAUACUGACGCUGAGGAGCGAAAGUGUGGGGAGCGAACAGG